UUCGGGUACUAUUUGAUUAUGAAGACUCUAACCCCGCCAGAACCGGAAGGUAGCAACGGUAUGAAUUGAAUUAAAGCUUAUAGAUUACUUGAAGAU
rnacentral:SRP_RNA from 5 species